AUGGAACAUGCGAUGCCCACGAUGGCCGCGGAGUCCGAGGGCGCCACCACCGACGACGACGUGCACCUCUCCCCGACCAGCGUCAGCAGCGGUGGUGGAGGAGGAGGAGGCGGCCCCCCCAGCGUCCGCUUCAAGAUACUCUGCAGCUUCGGCGGCCGCAUCAUGCCCCGCCCGUCCGACGGCGCGCUCAAGUACAUUGGCGGCGACACCCGCGUCCUCGCCGUGCCCCGCUCCAUCCGCUUCCGCGAUUUGAAGAAGAAGGUGGAGGAGAUGUUCAAGACGGAUGUGGCGGCCAUCAAGUACCAGCUGCUCUCCUCCGACGACCUCGACGUGCUCGUCUCCGUCACCUGCGACGAGGACCUGGCCCACAUGCUCGACGAGUACGACCGGUUCGAGGCGAAGCGGUCGCCGUCCGCGUCGCCCCGUUUCCGCGUCUACGUCUUCGUGCCGCACCAGGUCUCCGCCUCGUCGGUCGCCGCCGCCGUCCCCGCCCCCGUCGCCUCUUCGCGCCACGUCAGCUACGCCCGCAACCAGCCGCACUACCAUCCCCACCACCACCACCUCCAGCCGGAGCGGGAGCGCUACGUGGCCUCGGUGCCCGGCACGCCCGACGGAAGCCCGCCGUACCCGGACCAGCCCAACGGCGUCGCCUCGGCGGGUAACUCCCCGCGCGCCAACAUCGUGGAGCAGGCCGUGUUCCGCGGCGGGAUGCAGCGCGUCCGGAGCUCGCCCAACCUCGGCGGCCUGAACGCGGCACUGCUACCCUUCCAUGACCACGCCGGGGACAGCCCCGGAGGCCUGGCUGGAUACAUGAGCGGCUCGCCCGUGCACCCGGGCGGCGGCCACAUAUUCUCGCAGGGCAGCUACAACCCCUACCGCAGCCCGCAGCCGCAGUACUCUCCAGCGCCCGUGCCCGUGCCGCACCACGCCGGCGUGGCCGGGAGGUACGACGCGCGUGGCGGUUACGCGCGGGGCGGCAGCUACAUGGCGGCGCCGCUGGCGCCAGCGCUCCGGUCUGGCCGGCCGGUCACCAGGAGCGGCGGGGCGCCGUACAGCGAGAUGCAGGCGCCGAAGAAGACGGCGACGAUAUGGGACUGA
rnacentral:rRNA from 1 species